CGUACGGAACUAACUUAAUUCACACUUAAUGUGUCGGACAUUUUGAAUCUUUCAUUAUGAUUAAAAAUUAGAAUUUCUUAUGAAUCUUAAAUUAUGUAAUAAAUAGUUUAGAAGAGAAAAAAUAAAUUUGUUUUUAGUAUUAUAAUGUGGUUAAUGAAGCUGCUAAAAAGUCCUGUAAGUUUUUCGAUAAUAUUGUAUAAGCGAUUAAAAGUAAUUUUAAGUACAGUAACAAUGUAUUUUGAUAAUUCUUUAUUUAGUUAUUGCUACUAAAAUAGCAGUUUCAAAAAAUUAGCAGUAAUUUCAAAAAAGUAUCAGUUUCAGCAUUUUUUUUUAAUAUUUCUUAAAUUGUUUUUUCUGUUUGGUUUUUAACAACGCUUUAGAACGUCUAUAGUUAACUCUUAGCUUCCUAAUUUUUCUACUUUUAUUAAAAGUAGAAAAAUUAUGAAAAAUAGUUACCACUUAAAAUGCAUAAAUUUUCUCUAAAAGUUUUAGAGAAAAAUUAUGCAUUUUAAGUGGUUACUACUUUUAAAUAACUAAAUAAAAUUAUUAUUGUUUGUUUAUAUUAAGACCUAACAUCUAUUUGUUUAUGAUAGAUGUUAUAUUGAUCGAAUCACAAUGUUAUAAUAUUUAUACUUUUAGUGCAGUCAGUGCCAAUCAAAAAAUAUGGGGUUCAAAUAUUUAUAUAAUGGAUCUUCAGUUUUAGUGUAGGCUUUUAGUGUAAACAAAAAAAUUUUUUUAAAAGUUUAAGUAUUAUUCAUACUCCUAUAUGAUAACCACUAAAGAGAAAAUAAAUUUACUUACCUCUGAUAUGAUAGAUUAUUAUAUUGUAUCAUUUAUUUUCUCUUUAGUAGAAAAGUUAACAUGAUUCAAACAAUAAUAUAGUUGUAUUACAUAGUUAUAUUAUAUUUCUAAAAUCUGCGCAAACAUUUUUUUUAUUGUUUAUUAAGUUUUGCAUGUUUAAUUUCAUUUAAUCAUUUAUCUACAGUCCAGUCAGUUGCAACAAUAGUUAAAGCAACAGGAAACAGCCAAGUACACAUGCAAGUGAUUGUUAUGAGGAUUGCAAAAGUUUUAAAUAUCAGAAACUGAAAAAGGUAUUGAUAAUCAGCAGAUAAUAAAAAAAGCAAAAGUACUGAUUAUUCAAAUCUUUUAAAGUUAAACCAUCACCACUUCCACAGCCACCUUGUCUCAAGCAUUCAAUCACAUUCUAAGAUAUCUUUAUUGAAAUUAAGUGUGACUACUUUACCAAAAGACUCUAGAAUGGACCAAUCAAUGAAACUGUCGGUAUCUCCACAACUUUUCAAUUAAAUAGAAAGUUUCAAUCAAACAGGAUACUGAGUGUGCCUACUGCUUCUCAAGACAAUUAAUAAUGGGAGUUGUCAAACUUGCGAUAACUACAAGUUUUUUAAUAAGUAAAAAGGUUGUAUGACUUCGGUAUCCGCAAUAUGGUAUCGUGCAUUGGUUCUUAUCUUAGAAUGGCUCCCUUCCGUAUAGGUGAAAAUAAGAAAGGUUAUCAGUUCAAGCAAAGAUGACAAUGAUCAUUAUGGAGCCGAUCAUGAUGACGAAUACGAUAAUGCAUAUAAUAAUAAAUAAAGUGAUUUUACUUGUAUUUUAGACUUAUAUAAAUAAAAAAUUUU